AGCCCUUCGGGGUGGAUUAGUGGCGAACGGGUGAGUAACACGUGGGCAAUCUGCCCUUCACUCUGGGACAAGCCCUGGAAACGGGGUCUAAUACCGGAUGAUACUUCCACUCGCAUGGGUGGGGGUUGAAAGCUCCGGCGGUGAAGGAUGAGCCCGCGGCCUAUCAGCUUGUUGGUGAGGUAGUGGCUCACCAAGGCGACGACGGGUAGCCGGCCUGAGAGGGCGACCGGCCACACUGGGACUGAGACACGGCCCAGACUCCUACGGGAGGCAGCAGUGGGGAAUAUUGCACAAUGGGCGAAAGCCUGAUGCAGCGACGCCGCGUGAGGGAUGACGGCCUUCGGGUUGUAAACCUCUUUCAGCAGGGAAGAAGCGAAAGUGACGGUACCUGCAGAAGAAGCGCCGGCUAACUACGUGCCAGCAGCCGCGGUAAUACGUAGGGCGCAAGCGUUGUCCGGAAUUAUUGGGCGUAAAGAGCUCGUAGGCGGUCUGUCGCGUCGGAUGUGAAAGCCCGGGGCUUAACCCCGGGUCUGCAUUCGAUACGGGCAGACUAGAGUGUGGUAGGGGAGAUCGGAAUUCCUGGUGUAGCGGUGAAAUGCGCAGAUAUCAGGAGGAACACCGGUGGCGAAGGCGGAUCUCUGGGCCAUUACUGACGCUGAGGAGCGAAAGCGUGGGGAGCGAACAGGAUUAGAUACCCUGGUAGUCCACGCCGUAAACGGUGGGAACUAGGUGUUGGCGACAUUCCACGUCGUCGGUGCCGCAGCUAACGCA
rnacentral:rRNA from 1 species